rnacentral:misc_RNA from 1 species
GGCUGGAUCACCUCCUUUCUAAGGAGUCCUCCCUCGAGAAAUCGAGAGGACAACUAGGUCAUACCUUUGAUUCUAAGUUCGAGACGGGACUUGAGAGUCUCGAAUACCUCGUAUGCUAUUCAGUUUUGAGCGACCGAGGGGUUGAUCGGAUGUCCACGAAGGUGGGUCAUCUACGCCGAAGCAGGGCGCUGAGGCGUGGCUCCUUGAUAGUUAGAGCGACGGUGCAGCGUUACACUGGGCCUAUAGCUCAGCUGGUUAGAGCGCACGCCUGAUAAGCGUGAGGUCAGUAGUUCAAGUCUACUUAGGCCCACUAAGACCAGCGGGGUUGUAGCUCAGUUGGGAGAGCGCGGGCUUUGCAAGCCUGAGGUCGUCGGUUCGAGUCCGAUCAGCUCCACGAGCAAAAAGUUUCGUCGUUCUUUGACAAGCGAAUAUGAUGAGAGAGCUGUAAAAUAGAUUUUUACGAGCUCAAUUUUCGUCAAGCGUUAAUAUUCUCGAUCUGCCCACAUAAAUUGAUGGGAGACGGGUUAGUUGGUUCGAGCAUCGAACCCUAGCCUCGACCUAUUAUGUGUGGUCAAGCUACGAAGGGCAGACGGUGGAUGCCUUGGCGCGCAAAGGCGAUGAAGGACGUGGCUAGCUGCGAUAAGCUUCGGUGAGAUGCUAAGCGAUCUUUGACCCGAAGAUGUCCGAAUGGGGAAACCCGGCCGGCUCGACCGGCCAGCUUGCACUGAAUACAUAGGUGCCUGCGGCAAACCUGGGGAAGUGAAACAUCUCAGUACCCGGAGGAAGAGAAAUCAAACGAGAUCCCGUUAGUAGCGGCGAGCGAAGACGGGCUGCCAACAAUGGCAAGGGCAAACCGAUGGGAUUCGUCCCAUCGGGGGUUGUAGGACCCCGACGUGGGAACCAACAAGGAUAGCGGAAGCUUCUGGAAAGUAGCUCCAUAGAGGGUGAUAGACCCGUACGCGAAAUCUGAGUUGGCCCUAGGGAGUUCCUGAGUACCACAGGGCACGAGCAACCCGGUGGGAAUCUAGGGGGACCACCCUCUAACCCUGAACACUCAUGCGCGACCGAUAGUGCACCAGUACCGUGAGGGAAAGGUGAAAAGCACCCCGGUUAGGGGAGUGAAAUAGUACCUGAAACCGUCUGCUUACAAGCCGUUCGAGGGCUAUGGAUCUUCGGAUCAAAGCCUGAGAGCGUUCCUUUUGAAUGAUGAGUCCGCGAGUUGCGGUAUGUCGCAAGGUUAAGCCAUUAUAGGUGUAGCCGAAGGGAAACCGAGUCCUAACUGGGCGUCGAGUGGCAUGCUGCAGACCCGAAGCGUUGUGAUCUACACAUGGACAGGCUGAAGCGUGGGUAAAACUGCGUGGAGGGCCGAAUCCACCGAAGUUGAAAAUUCGGGGAAUGAGCUGUGUGUAGGGGUGAAAGGCUAAUCAAACUGCGUGAUAGCUGGUUCUCCCCGAAAGAUAUUUAGGUAUCGUCUCGAGUCACUCACUACCGGAGGUAGAGCACUCGAUGGGCUAGGGCCCUUACCAGGGUACCAAACCUAACGAAACUCCGAAUGCCGGUAAGUGUUAUCUCGGGAAGCAGGCUGCGGGAGAUAAGUUCCGUAGCCGAGAGGGAAAGAGCCCAGAUCGUCAGCUAAGGUCCCCAACUCUAUGCUAAGUGGAAAACGAUGUGGGUUCGCUUAGACAACCAGGAGGUUGGCUUAGAAGCAGCCAUCCUUUAAAGAAAGCGUAAUAGCUCACUGGUCAAGUGAACCUGCGCGGAAAAUAUAACGGGGCUAAAGCAUAGGACCGAAGCUACGGGUUCUUCGCAAGAAGAGCGGUAGGGGAGCAUCGAAGUUGCCUGUGAAGGUCGACCGAUAGGACGGCUGGAGGCCCUUCGAGGGCAAAUGCGGACAUGAGUAGCGAUAAGACGAGUGAGAAACUCGUCCGCCGAAAACCUAAGGUUUCCUGGGCCAGGUUCAUCCUCCCAGGGUUAGUCGGGUCCUAAGCCGAGGCCGCCAGGCGUAGGCGAUGGAAGGCAGGUUAAUAUUCCUGCACUACCGAAUUAACACAGAAGCCAGCAGGGACGGAGAAAGCUAGACAGACCGGUUGUUGGUAUGCCCGGUUCAAGCGUGUAGAGGUUCGUCGUACGAUCAAAAGGCGACGGAGCUAUCCUCGAGGCGUGAUGAGACUGCAAAGCUAUGGCUGCGCGGGAACCUGUCGAUGCUAUGCUUCCAAGAAAAGCUGCGGGUGGAGUUGUUUCGGUAUCCGUACCGCAAACCGACACUGGUAGGUAGGUGGAGAACACUAAGGCGCUUGAGAGAACCCUAGUUAAGGAACUCUGCAAAAUAGCACCGUAACUUCGGGAUAAGGUGUGCCUUCGGCGGUGUAGGACUUCGCGUUCGAAGCUUCCGAGGGCCGCAGCGAAGCGGGGGUAGCGACUGUUUACCAAAAACACAGGCUUCUGCUAAGUCGAAAGACGACGUAUAGGAGCUGACUCCUGCCCGGUGCCGGAAGGUUAAGGGGAUUGCUUAGCGCAAGCGACGGCAUGAACCGAAGCCCCGGUAAACGGCGGCCGUAACUAUAACGGUCCUAAGGUAGCGAAAUUCCUUGGCGGGUAAGUUCCGUCCUGCACGAAUGGAGUAACGACUUCCCCACUGUCUCAACUAGGGACUCAGCGAAAUUGAACUCGCGGUGAAGAUACCGCGUUCCCGCAGACGGACGGAAAGACCCCAUGAACCUUCACUGCAACUUGGCACUGACAUUCGGGUCAGAUUGCGUAGGAUAGGUGGGAGGCUUUGAUCCUUCACUUCCGGGUGAGGGGGAGCCAACCUUGAAAUACCACCCUGUUUGUCCUGGAUGUCUAACCCAGGCCCGUCAUCCGGGUCGGGGACACUGCCUGGUGGGCAGUUUGACUGGGGCGGUCGCCUCCAAAAGAGUAACGGAGGCGCG